rnacentral:rRNA from 1 species
AUUGAACGCUGGCGGCAUGCUUUACACAUGCAAGUCGAGCGGCAGCGCGGGGGCAACCCUGGCGGCGAGCGGCGAACGGGUGAGUAAUGCAUCGGAACGUACCCUGGAGUGGGGGAUAACGCCGCGAAAGCGGCGCUAAUACCGCAUAUGCUCUGAGGAGGAAAGUGGGGGGACCGCAAGGCCUCACGCUCUGGGAGCGGCCGAUGUCCGAUUAGCUAGUUGGUGGGGUAAAGGCUUACCAAGGCGACGAUCGGUAGCUGGUCUGAGAGGAUGAUCAGCCACACUGGGACUGAGACACGGCCCAGACUCCUACGGGAGGCAGCAGUGGGGAAUUUUGGACAAUGGGGGCAACCCUGAUCCAGCCAUGCCGCGUGAGUGAAGAAGGCCUUCGGGUUGUAAAGGCUCUUUUGGUUCGGGUAAGGAAAGACGCCUUGCCUAAUACGCGAGGUGGUUGACGGUACCGGCAGAAUAAGCACCGGCGUAACUACGUAGCCAGCAGCCGCGGUAAU